GUUGUGACUCCAACCGCCAUUCCAACGGCCGCAGAACGUUGCCUCCGUUCGAAACGAGCUCGUGGUCCCAGCUUGGCCAGAGAGCGAGCGAGAGAGCGAGAGAGAGAGAGGCGCGUCGCGGCCUUCCUCAUCCCCUCACCAUCCUCCUCCUCUCUCCUCUCCCGCCGGAGGAAAAAAACACCUCUCCCCGUCCCCCAAUAAAUACUUCAGGGAACACCGACGGAAAGCGGGGAAAAGAAGGGGAUGUUGUGAGGAAACGUUGCACUGGGGCGCCUAGAUCCGAGUCCUGCCCGGCUUUCCCGCCUCGUUUGUGCGCCUCGAGUCUCGCCGAGUUGACUCGGGUUGCCUCCUCAGGCCUUGCUGGUGGUGAUUGUAGUUGUGUGUGUGUGUUUUUAACAACGACACACGCACACACACCCCCCGGUCCGCUUUAACUCAGUGCCUCAGUCUCUCAGCAGGUGAAGGAGAAGGGCGCCGAUAGGAACCGCCGCCAUUUUCUCUCAAAACGGGCAAACGGGCUUAGUCGGGUUUCGAAAAAACAGAGAUGCCAUUUCGGGUUUGGGAGCAGGAGGAGACUUAUAUUGAAAGAAAAAGCUUGAUAUAUGACAUCUCUGUGUGUAAAGUUGAGGCCCGUGAAGUAAUUGAAAUCUGACACCUUCCAGAGGAGUAAGACAAAGCGCUAUGAUCUACUAUCACGGUGUGAGCUGUGGAAAUCUAUGCAGUCCAUUGCCAAGAAUGAGCAUCACAGGAAGCAGGAACCUAGACUGCGAGUUGUGCCUCUUAUUCUGUGGAUCAUUUGGAGAAAUACACUCAAAGCAAGAUACUAAUUGAUAUUGGGAGAGAGACAUAUUCUCAUCUCUGCUUUCAAGAAAGUGGCAUUCUCGAGCCCUCUGAAGGACAGUACUUCAAGGUUGACCGUGCAGCUAAAUUGAACUUCCAUUUACUGUUAUUGUACC